ACAUGAUCUGAUCCACACAAAAGGAGCCGACCAGUUUUUCCUUGGGUAGAUGCCAUCAGUGGCAAGGGGUAUUACAAGAGAAAACACAGUUUGCUUUUAAAGUAGGUUGAAGAGUAGCGAAUCAGUAAAAUGAUUUUCCACUAAACUCAAAUAGCUAACGUUCGAAAGUUAACCAAGACAGUUCAAAAUUCAAAUCCAUUCUUUUCUCCAAUAGGCUGAAACUGGAUAUCUGAUUGGGACAACGUAGCCUCCGGCACGCUCUUCUCUUACCCUGCGUUGUUCCUGUACCCACCACCUGCUCGUAGCCUUCCCGCCAGUGUCCAGUUUCCUCUUUCGGCGAGACGACAAAUCCUCAUGGUCUCGACGAAUCCUCUGGCAGUUCAAAUCGUUUCAAUUCUUUGAAGGAGAUUUGAUGUAGAAUUAUGAAGUUUGCAAAGAGAGGAAAACGAUAUAAAUAUGGUGUCCCGGUUGUACCCCAAAACCACCCCGAUUCAUUUGCCCCUUCUUCCUCUUACGUUAGAAACCCUAACCCUAACUCCCUUUCUCAGAUUCUCGAUCUGCCGGCAUCUUCCUUUUCUCAGUCUCCGAUAGCCCCUUCAUCUUUUCCACUUCUCCGGUAAAGGUAAUAGAUAUAUGAAGGUGGCUCUCCUCCUCCUACUUUUGGGUCUGAACCUCUGGGCUAUUGCAACUGGUUACCUCUCUCUCUCUCUCUGUUUUGGUUGUGGUCAUUUUACAAACAAAGAUUCUAUUUUGCAGGGGGAGCAAUAAAAUGUAGCACCGCUAAGGACUUCGGAAUAUUCCAUUUUCCGUACCGCUUUUUUGAGUGUCAAAAUGGGAGAUGCUCUGUAAAUAUGUUAGGGAUAGUCUUCUCCCAUGGCAUUUGCUUAGUCCUUGUGGCUAUUGUUUUGAAUAUUCCACAUUUUUUUUAUUUAAUAUAUUAUCCUCUCCAAAUUUGUCUUUA